rnacentral:snRNA from 2 species
UCACUUACCUGGACGGGGUCAAUGGGUGAUCAAGAAGGUCCAUGGCCUAGGUUGGUGACCUCCAUUGCACUUCGGAGGGGUGCCCGCCUAAGGUCGGCCCAAGCGGUCGAGCCUACGUCAUAAUUUGUGGCAGUGGGGGCUUGCGUUCGCGCAGCCCCUGC